CAACUGCGUUUGAGAUUACGCAAGCUUUUGAACUUGGCCGCUAGGCGUUUCUCGCAGACGAAGUGGUGGGCGCGUCGUGCUUCUUUUCCACGGCCGAUGUCGAGCUCCUGAAAGUCGCACGUCUUUUGUUCAGCGAAGAAAAAGUUUCUCGAGUUGCUUCUUAUCUCCGCCCCGCGCGGAGAUAGCCUGCUCGACGCCGAGACGAUGGUCAACGACGUGGUUCUGUUUGUGUUUUCGCUAUUCGACACGGGAGCCCUGCUAUUCCUUACCGUUUACGUCGUGAUUACGCUGUCCGAUUUAGAAUGCGACUACCUCAACGCUCAGCAAUGUUGUUCCAAGCUGAACGGGUGGGUCCUGCCAGAGGUGAUCGCACAGGCUGUCCUGACUGUUCUGCUAUUCUUCGUCAACUUCCAUUGGAUUUUGUUUGGUCUCAACGUCCCCAUGGUCGUGUGGCAGGUUUACAAGUACCUUUCGGUACCUGACUGCAACUUCGGGGUGUACGACCCGACGGAGAUCCAUAACCGGGGCAACCUCAAGCGGCACCUUCGGGACUCCAUGAUCCGGCUGGCAUUUUACCUCAUCUUCUUCUUCAUCUAUCUAUAUUGCAUGAUUAUCGCCUUGCUGACGUCAAACCCCGACACAAGGCGGGAGACCUACUAGGAGGUGUGAACCAGCUCUCCUCUUCCUUUCAACGUCUCCCUCAUGCAAAUGGAGUGCCUGUCCCGCGGACCGCGUCAGAGGCACUCCCAUUUGAAGAGCCCGAGUCGACGAGAUCUUGCCGCGAACAAACUUGCGGCUCGUGCGCGCACGCACGAGGUGUUGGCGGACGUCGCUACGCUCGAGGAACUCGAGGCAACUGGUCAUUUCAACCAUUGACAAUACUCUCUAGUAGUUUUGUUUCUGUUCCGAGUUGCAGCAUUUUUUUUUUUUCUUGUCAAUUUGCUAGGUAUACCUCUUCGUCUUAAGCAGUGCCCUUCCUCGUGCCAUUGGAAAUGUGGUGGCGUCUUUUGUGGCUUCAGUGUGGCAAAUUAAAAACCUCAGUUCUGGAGCUUGAAAUUUUAAGUGUGAUGGCAUCGCCUCCUCUGAGAUUCCUGAAAUGAAUGCAUUCUUUAAAGCGAAGCUGUUCUUAGUUGACGCUUUGCCAUCUCUUGGCAUCACGAGGGCAUGUCAUGCACGACAGCAGUGCUUGCAACGCUGCUUGCGUUCCAGUGCAGUCGCAAUAGCAAUGCACAUUUUGGCGAGUGGAAUGGGCCAUGGCUGCAGUGGAACGCUACCGUAGCGUUCCAGCUUGGCCUAGAAUGAGCACAUCAUUGCCUCGUAGCUUAACAUAGAGUGUCAAAUAAAGAGCAAUGAUACAAUGCAGAAACACAUACAAAAGACUUGCAAAACAUAGAAAUACUUAGAAGGACUUGCAAAAAAAAGAACAUAAAUAUCAGCUUCGCGGUUUCGAUGGCUUUCACGGAGUGGAGCUUGCUGCAUUUUUUUUGUCAUGGCAGUUCCGUGAUUUUUGGUAGUAUGCCAUUUUUAACUAAGAUGACUUAACGUUAUUGCAUCGGGAAGACUACGUAAUAAUUGAGAAUGAGCAUGAUGUCCAUGCAAUCGUGCUGCAAACAUAUUCAUCGUCUCAGCUGUCAUUUCGAUAAUCCUGUGACCAACCUCGAAUCAAAAGGGCAGCUGUAGUUACUAAACCUGUACUGUUAUAAUCAUGGAACUGUUUUAUAAGAGCAAACAUGACCUUUUCGAUGAGUUCUGACUUCAGUUUGGCUGUUCGUUUCUCGACAGUACCUGGAAAAUUAAGAACAUACACUUUGUAACCAAGUUUGUUUACUGCUAGCACUUUUUUUAAAGUUUCGAUAUGCAUCGGUUAGCUCACUUCUAGGCUACACACGCACGACUUUGUUGCCAAAGGUGUAUCAGCUAUAGAAGCCAAACAUAGAUUGAGUGAUAUUGUGCUGUACGAGCUCUCAGUAGCCUGGUUGUUUACCUACUGGCAAACAGCCGGGCUUUGUGGAGCACGUUACCAGCUUGCAGCAUUUUCGGUGAUAUUUUUGUUGAUUGCAUCAUCAGCGACAUGGUUUAUCUUCUAAUGAGCUCUCCUUUGCUUGUGCUAGCUCAAUUUCUUGUAACUAUCCCUUAAAAUGUAAUCCCAUUGUCUUCUUUUUUUGGCAUGUUGUACCAUUGUUGCUUGUAUGGUACUACUUAUCGCUUCCCCAAGAGAUGAAUUAUGCCAAUGGCUUUGACUAAGGCUUGACGUGGCUAUUCCCUCAUUCAGAUUGCUUACAGUUAAAGGCAGUUAAUGACUCUUUGAGCAUUUGCAAUGUCAUGAUUAACUAGUCUGAACGAGCUCGUCGCAUGUUAACACAAACUAGUGCAAGGUAUGAAAAACAAGGUUUUUGUUUUCUGUGUUUACACUGUCGGCAUUCCUUUGGUUCUAUAUCGGUUAUAAGUGCACCGCAGCUCUGUCCCUAGCGGGUGGAAAUGUAACGUGUAAGCUUAGUUUUUACGCCUGAAACGGCGUAAAGCCAAGAAUGUGAAGUAGUUUACAUAUUGUUGUGCGUUGUGUAGAUGAGUGAGUUAUGACUGAAAGUAGCUAUAAUUGUCAACAUAUGACUGUUAACAGUUCCAUCCAACAUGAGCUGUCUUUGGGUGUCAUGUGUGAGUGUGCGCUGUUCGAAAGUUCUUGCCAACUACUUGUGAAUGAACUGUCUGAAAGUGGAAUCGCCCGUAGCAUCACCGGGGGUUGUGCCAUCACUGGUGUUUUUUUUGUUUUUAACUGGAAGUGUGCCGAACGGAUGUGUUUUUUUUUAGUGUUUUGGUGUUAGGUAUGCCAGCUUUUGUAGCAGUAUGUUCAAAUGAAAAAGAAAGAAGUAGUGGUUACUGAUAGGGCAUACAAAUUCUGUUUAGUGUGUGCCUGCCUGGCCAUAUUUGAGUGUUAAAGCAGUUGUAGCUUCCGGUACGCCCUAGCACUAAUACUUCUUAAACACACUUAUUUACAUACUAAGUACUUCUUUCACCCAUGAGCACCUUUAUGACUACGUAUUGUACCUUCUUCCUAUUGUUGUGUUGCUAGGGAAGUCUGGUUCAAACUGUUUUGAUGAGAUGCAAGAACAUUUCACAGUUCAUUUCGCCAACACCACAUUUAAGUACACUAUCACCUGCCCACUUCAUUCGAAAUAAAUUGGAAUUGCAUGCUUGCCAGAAUCAAAUUUGAGAUUUUAUUGACAAUGGACAGUGUCCCUGUUAGUUCUUUUCAAUCGAGGUACCUGUUUUUCGAAGGGCAACACCACUGGUGCUUCGCCAGUUCAAUCCUAAAUGUGAUCUCAAGCAAUAUAUAAACUGUUGAAUCUUGCGUCCAAUCAAAACUCGAGCACAAAGGUAGCCAAGGUUUAGCCAACUCGAGUGCGAAGUUUAGCCAGAGCCAUUGAAACCCUGACUACCUUACUUGAAUACGGCUUUGAAGUAAUGUCAAGUACAAUGCAGUCGGCCAACACGUUUUGUGCACAAGUGAUCAAGCAUCACGUACAGUAUAACCCCCGACUCCAAUGCUGGUUCGUGUUAUAUGUUUGCCGUACAUACUGCGUUGAACUGCUGCAAUAUGUACAACAUGUAAGUACAUAGCCUGCAUGUGUAGUGGUGGUUGUACUCUCCACUCGUGUAACACUUCCUGCUAGUCUCUGCAUGAAAGUUCUGCUGUACUUUUGUGUUCGGUGGAUUAAGCUUGCAGUCUACACUUCCUGAACUUCGAGUCGUGCUUGUGCUCCAGUAGUCAGGCUGCCAACAUUGAUAGUUGCGUGCAGUGAAAGUGUGGCUGCGUUUGUGUCUACAUAGUUGGUAUGAGAUUGCAUUCAUUUGGAUUGGCUUAGCCUUUCAAUUGACUUUGGGGCUUCUGAACUUCUAGGUCAAUAUUGAAACUUGGCAAAGUUCAGUCUUAGUGUCUCCAUCGUUCUGAAUUGCACCACAGCGUUAGUCAGUUCAGGCAGGCUUCUGUAGCUGUUCCCAAACGUCUUUCUUAUGAAUGGUUCACUUGCGACAUGUUUGCACAUGAAAACUUGCUAUACAGCUGGUACUAUAAGCAUUCACUAUCUUUUUUCUUUUUUUUUUUCUUAAUUACUGCUGCCUCUAUACUGCUUAUCAGUUACUUCUUUUAGACUGUGAAACUGUCUGUAGAGCCAGCUUUGUUUGUAAAGCUGUAUUGCUGCUUUGCCCGUUUCAUUGAUUAUGCACACAUGCAGGCGUCUUUGCACUGUUCUGAAGCUUACACGUGACAAGGCCGAUGAUUGAACUAGGGUGUGCCGUUACGUACGUUGUUUCUCCACAUGACUGGUCUGCAUUCUUUAGCAGUUCUUAAUCUUCGGUUUCAAUGGUGUCAUUAGUCAUACUGAGCAAGUGGUUAAGACAUUACAGUGGCAUGCAAGUUGCUGCAGCAGUUUUGAAAAAAUGGUGAAAGAAAAAAAAGACCUGCAAUGAAUCGGCCCCAUUUGUUGUCUCUGUUGCCUCUUAAAGAACCCUUCUCUUUAUUGUAGCAAUGCAGCAGUUCAUAGACUAGUUGCAUGAUAGCCUGCUCUCCCGAUAUGUAUGGGACUACAUUUCUCUGGCUACGCAGGUAUGGCUGUGUUGUCAACUGCGUACAAGUGGCCAUAUUGGUCAUGUUUCAGUGCUCUGAAUUUCGCUUAGGUGUAGCGCAUUGGCCACUUUUUUCCUGCCGGUAUGCACUAGUGCCAGGCACCUGUCGGUGUUGGCACCUUUUGCUGUACUAGUACCCACCUGCCAGUGGCGCACUUGUGGCUCCAGCUUUUAUCACAUCUUGCCAAUUUCACGUGGAAGCUAACGUAGUUGUGCUAUUUGUACGCCGAUGUGCAGAAACAUUAAGUUGCUCCAAGUUCAUGGGAUGUAAAAUGGAGCCUGUGCUCAUGCACGUGUCACAGAGCGCAGAACUCAAAAGGCAAGAACACAUGAUGUUGUACUGCAGCUCAAUACAGGAGGAAAGGUUGAUUGCAAAUGUGUGUGUAUAAGUGCAUAUUACACGAAGGUGGUUGGGCAUGACUUUCAGAUUCUCUCUCUCGUUCACUGAUGUAUGGUCACAUUGGUUUCAGAAAUCUUAAACUGCAAUUUUUGUCGUCCUUGUCUACGACAUGACCUGAGCUAGUUCACAUCAAUGGAAACAUAUUGUUGAUAAUAUCUGGUCAUACAUCUUUCAUCUUGUGCUUGCAACCAUAUCCAAAACACUCAUUUCAUGGUUGGUGAACAGUAUUGCUAUUUCAGAUAAAGGGCUUAUUCAUGGUGACUUAACAGCUCGCAACAGCUAAAACCAUAGUUGACAUGUAAGUUGGUAUAAGGUUAGGUUCAUUCUACGCUUCAGUAGCAUUGUCGGUAACAGCCAGUUUUGAGCUUGGCCGAUGCAGAGCUGGGCGUGGGUUAUGUUGGUGAUUGAUAAACGGCGAGUGCGAAUCAAAAUACAGACUUGGAGUGGAAAUGGACGUGGCAAGCACUGUCAAUACCAAAUGUACCUUGACAGCUUCUUGUACUAGUACUACACUCAAACCUCGAUAUAACGAACUCGGAUAUAACGAAUUAUCGGUUAUAACAAAGUAAAUGAAUAGCCUUGGUAAUAGACACGGUGGUUCGAAUAUACGCUUAGAACGAAUUUUCGGAUAUAGCGAAGUUAGUUUCGUGUCAAAUGUGACUUUUUUUUAUUAUGAGGUUUAAGUGUAGUCGUAACUUCGCGUGGAAGAAAGGGUGCUUAACCCACGGCCAUGUUUUCCUUAAAGGUGCAGUCGACAUGGCCUGUGCUUGGUGUAGCUCAAGCUGUGCAAAUGCAGUGGUUGUCGCUGUGAUUUUGUGCAUGUUUUAAACGUUCUCUGUGCCGUUUAGUGUAAAAAACUUUGCAUGUCUUCGGGUCAUAGCCUUCCGUUGUCUCUUGUUCGUACAUCUGUAUGUUAUGACUCCCCUUAUGUAUGCUUCCCAGUGUUGUUUGUGUGCUGAUGGUUUUGUAGGGCUGCUCUCCACAGUGUGUUUCACUGAAAAUAAACUUGUUUCCUUUU